CAGGAGCGCAUUUCCAUGUUCUUCACUGAAAUGUUCGGUCCUAUCACUAUCAUUUCAAGUUUGUAUAGUCCAUCUAUUGAACGAUAUUUGGGUGUUGAGAAAUAACAAACUUGAAUUAAAUUUACGUCAAAUCAAUUCUUGUGUUUGUUAACAAAUUUCGAUUGAAAUGUCAGAAUAAAAGAUUUUUCUAAAUCAACGAAAUCGAGAUUAGACCAAAACCAUCAUUUUACUUUUCAUAAUAUUCGUUAAUUUUUUUCAAAGUUGUGAGUUGAAGUAUGGAGCAUAGUAUAUGUUUGGUAAAUAAAAUAUUUGAAAAAUA